GUAGCUGGUGUGUCUGGAACCAUUACUACACUGAUUUUGAGCCACGGUAAUUUUUCUAGUCCUGCACCAGUGCUACAACUGCUGAUGCCGUGAAUUACCUAUAAACCUUUGCCGCAUCUUCCAUGUUCCUUCGCUGAACAAAAGACGACGACGCCAAGCGGUGUCUUUGUUUCCAUGUCACGUUCGCCAGGCGAAGGAGAUAGCUGUCAGUGUAUCUGCUGCCAACAUCCAUUGGAACAGCACCACUUGCUCGCGAGCACACCGCCGAUUGUGACGCUGCCGAAUGGCAAGUACCACCGCCGCUGCGAUUCCUCUCGCCACUGCGCCGUCCAUAGCCAUUGCGACCCCUAUGGCAUCCACGACCACUAGUGCUGCUGCGUCCCCAGCAACACCAGUGGUAACCCAGAAGCACGGAGAGGUGCCGCCGACAGCGCUGACGCAAGAGGAAAUCAAAGCGGUUCGAGCUUCGUGGGGCAAAGUUCGGGAGAAUUACAGGGUGAACAGCGUCGACUUCUUCAUGAAGUUCUUGAUGCAGUUCCCAGAGUACAAGGCGCUGUUUCGAGCUUUUGCAGACGAGUCGUUCUUCUCGUUGCACAACGAUCCCAAGCUGAUAGCGCACGCUUUGUCCGUGUUCUAUAUGUUUUCAGCGUUUGUAGACAACAUGGACCGGCCUGACGUUUUGGAGGCGCUCGUGAUCAAGAACGCCAAAAACCACACACUGCGGGAUGGUGUUACAACCACUCACUUCAGCAACAUUGAGAAGUCCAUGAACGAAUUCCUUCUUCAGAACUGGCCCAACGAAAUGACACCUGCUGCAGUCCGCGGAUGGGAGAAGCUAUUCGUCACUAUAUGGCUGACGACGCACAGAGUAUUCCGCGAAGAUCGCAAACCGACAUCUGAUUGAGAUGUGAGAAGAGCGCCGAGUAUGUCCAUGCAGUGUAAGCGUGUUUCAAUAAAACGUCGUCGUGGUUCCUACAGAA